rnacentral:rRNA from 1 species
AGAAUCAACGCUGGCGGCGUGCCUAACACAUGCAAGUCGCACGAGAAAGGGUAGCAAUACCUGAGUAAAGUGGCGCACGGGUGAGUAACACGUGACUAAUCUACCCUCGAGUGGGGAAUAACUGAGAGAAAUCUUAGCUAAUACCGCAUAAUACUUACGAGUCAAAGCAGCAAUGCGCUUGGGGAGGAGGUCGCGGCCGAUUAGCUAGUUGGCGGGGUAAUGGCCCACCAAGGCGAUGAUCGGUAUCCGGCCUGAGAGGGCGCACGGACACACUGGAACUGAAACACGGUCCAGACUCCUACGGGAGGCAGCAGUGGGGAAUUUUGCGCAAUGGGGGAAACCCUGACGCAGCAACGCCGCGUGGAGGAUGAAAUAUCUUGGUAUGUAAACUCCUUUCGAUGGGAAGAUUAUGACGGUACCCAUAGAAGAAGCCCGGCUAACUUCGCGCCAGCAGCCGC